AUUUAUAUAAAAUAUUUUGAUGAAUAUUUAUAUAAUAUUAACAUAAUUCAUAUUACUAUAUAUUUUAGUAUAUGAAAUUUUACUUUGAGAAAAUUAGAGUGCUUAAAGCAGGCAUAUGCCUUGAAUACUCCAGCAUGGAAUAAUAUUAAAGAUUUUUAUCUUUCUUAUUGGUUCUAAGAUAAGAAUAAUGAUUAAUAGGGACAGUUGGGGGCAUUUGUAUUUAACAGUCAGAGGUGAAAUUCUUAGAUUUGUUAAAGACAAACUAAUGCGAAAGCAUUUGCCAAGGAUGUUUUCAUUAAUCAAGAACGAAAGUUAGGGGAUCGAAGACGAUCAGAUACCGUCGUAGUCUUAACCAUAAACUAUGCCAACUAGAGAUUGGAGGUUGUUCCUUACUCCUUCAGCACCUUA
rnacentral:rRNA from 1 species